rnacentral:siRNA from 1 species
AGAUAUUAUUCGUAUAGUGCUCA